GCACAGGGAUGUUUAUAGCCUUGGGAAGCAGUGGUUGCCAGGGUGUGGGAGGAGGAAGUGAUAAGCAGGUGAAACACAGUGGAUUUCCAGGGCCAGGAAACUGCUCUGUAAGAUACUGCUUUGCUGGAUACAUGUCAUUAUACACUUGUCCAAACCCAUGAAAGAUACAAGAUCAAUAGUCAGCCCUAUGUAAACUAUGGACUUCAGGGAAAAUCUGGGUGCUUGGAAAGACACCAGAAGCACAUACACAGAAGAAAGAUCGUAUGAAGACACAAGAAGAAGGUGACUAGCUGCAAGCCAAGAAAAGAGGCCUCAGAAGAAACCCAAUGUACUAGCACCUUGAUCUUGGAAUUCCAGUCUCCAAAGCUAAAUGUGUCUCCAUUUCUCUGGAAAAAAAUUCCCAAGGGGACAACUGCUGAGUCAAAUGGAAGCCUGCCUAGACUGCCUUCAUCUUUUCUCAUUGGCCAGCUCAGAGAUAAUUCUUGGAAGAUUUUCAUGUAGCAGGUACCUAACAAAUAUAGUUUACUUCUGGAGUUAUUGACUAACUGCAAUUAAUCCCUUUCCAUUGAUGCACUGCAUGAGCCUAAGAUAUUUUAUCUAAGCUUUAGUCAAACCUGGAAUACCCUUAUGGCAAAUAUUAUCUUUGACAGAAUGUAUUAAGAUAAACUAAAUGCUAUAGCAAACGAAAGCAAAACCUAGUGGUAUAAAACCACAGAGAUUUGUUUCUCGUCCGUGCAAUAGUCUCAUGCAGGUGUUUGACAGGCAGCCUUCAUAGUGGCAAUGCAAGAACUUGUACUCCUUUCAUAUUGUCACCUACUUGCCACCUAGGAUCCUAAGGUCCUCUGCUCAAGGUCUGCAUCCAGUAGGCAGACAGGGGAGAGAGAUUGUGUGAGCAUAUUUUUGGACCAGGGCACUUCUUCCUGCAUUGAAUUGGCCAAACCUAAUCACGUGACACUAUUUAGUUCAUUUAGUUAUAAUGAACACUCUUAUAUGUAAUCUUUCAGUACACAGGUAGAAUAGGAGACAGGUUUUGGUGGUUCAUUGCUGUCCCUGUAACACACAGUGAGCGCCAAGGGUCAGAACUGUGAGAUGCUUCCUAUAUUACUGGCAGCCACAGGGAUUAGAGAGGCUACAAGAAGCUUACCUUUUGAACAUCAGAGCUACAGACAUUAAUAUUUAAAGUUUGAGGGGACAGAAAAGUGAAGGCUGAUUAUUCUUGUCACAAGCUGUAAGAACAAUAAAAUGCAUUCUUUGUAAUGAAUAUUCUCAGUAUGGAAAAAAGGCAUGGCUCAUUUAAUUUCGUCAUUCAAUAUAAGAAAAAUAAACAGAAACAGAUGCCUUUCCAUUAAUUUUGCAAUGGCUGGAUUGGGAAUGAGGUUCUCAUGACGCCCUGUGUGUUUGAGGACAUCCCAAUCCAUCAUUACACACAUACCAGGGUUUCUGCCAGCAUCAGAAGCUGCCUCUAGAGCAAAGAUUCCAAGUUCCCAGAAAAUAUUCCCUCAUCUAUUGUAUUGAUAAUUUGAAAGUCUCUUCCUUCAAAGUAUCAAUUUUCCAGCAAUGAGACAUACAAACUUCUCCCUUUGUAUUAUCGAUAUUGACUCAGUUUUACUUCUUUUGGCUAUCUU
ensembl:lncRNA